rnacentral:rRNA from 1 species
AUUGAACGCUGGCGGCAGGCUUAACACAUGCGAGUCGAGCGGGGAAAGGUAGCUUGCUCCCUGACCUAGCGGCGGACGGGUGAGUAAUGCUUAGGAAUCUGCCUAUUAGUGGGGGACAACAUCUCGAAAGGGAUGCUAAUACCGCAUACGUCCUACGGGAGAAAGCAGGGGACCUUCGGGCCCUGCGCUAAUAGAUGAGCCUAAGUCGGAUUAGCUAGUUGGUGGGGUAAAGGCCUACCAAGGCGACGAUCUGUAGCGGGUCUGAGAGGAUGAUCCGCCACACUGGGACUGAGACACGGCCCAGACUCCUACGGGAGGCAGCAGUGGGGAAUAUUGGACAAUGGGGGGAACCCUGAUCCAGCCAUGCCGCGUGUGUGAAGAAGGCCUUUUGGUUGUAAAGCACUUUAAGCGAGGAGGAGGCUACCGAGAUUAAUACUCUUGGAUAGUGGACGUUACUCGCAGAAUAAGCACCGGCUAACUCUGUG